rnacentral:rRNA from 1 species
UUAGUCCUUCGGGACUUAGAAAUAAUCAUGGAGAGUUUGAUCCUGGCUCAGAACGAACGCUGGCGGCGCGUCUUAAGCAUGCAAGUCGAAUGGCAAGAUUGGUGCUUGCACUGAUCCUAGAAUGGCGGACUGGUGAGUAACGCGUGGGUGACGUACCCUUUGGACGGGGAUAGCUGCUAGAAAUAGCAGAUAAUACCGGAUAAGGUGGCCUGUGUCAGAGGCAGGUCAGGAAAGGAACAUUUGUUCCGCCGAAGGAACGGCUCGCGAGCUAUUAGCUAGUUGGUGAGGUAACGGCCCACCAAGGCGAUGAUAGCUACCCGGCCUAAGAGGGUGAACGGGCACAUUGGGACUGAGAUACGGCCCAGACUCCUACGGGAGGCAGCAGCUAAGAAUAUUCCGCAAUGGACGAAAGUCUGACGGAGCGACGCCGCGUGGAUGAUGAAGGUCGGAAGAUUGUAAAAUCCUUUUAUGACUGAAGAAUAAGUAUGGUGAGAGAAACGCCGUAUGGUGACAGUAGGUCAUGAAUAAGCAACGGCUAAUUACGUGCCAGCAGCCGCGGUAACACGUAAGUUGCGAGCGUUGUUCGGAAUUAUUGGGCGUAAAGGGCAUGCAGGCGGAAUUGCAAGCUUGGUGUGAAAUACCGGGGCUUAACUCCGGAAUAGCAUUGAGAACUGCAAAACUAGAGUCACUGAGGGGCAAUCAGAAUUCCAGGUGUAGGGGUGAAAUCUGUAGAUAUCUGGAAGAAUACCAAUGGCGAAGGCAGGUUACCAGCAGAUGACUGACGCUGAGGUGCGAAGGUGCGGGGAGCAAACAGGAUUAGAGACCCUGGUAGUCCGCACAGUCAACUAUGUGCACUAGAUGUCUGGUCGACAGACCGGGUGUCGAAGCAAACGCGAUAAGUGCACCGCCUGGGGAGUAUGCCCGCAAGGGUGAAACUCAAAGGAAUUGACGGGGGCCCGCACAAGCGGUGGAGCAUGUGGUUUAAUUCGAUGGUACGCGAGGAACCUUACCUGGGUUUGACAUACACAGGAAUUAUAUAGAGAUAUGUAAGCGCAGCAAUGCGCCUGUGAACAGGUGCUGCAUGGCUGUCGUCAGCUCGUGCCGUGAGGUGUUGGGUUAAGUCCCGCAACGAGCGCAACCCCUGCUGCCAGUUACUAACACGUAAAGGUGAGGACUCUGGCGGAACUGCCGGUGACAAACCGGAGGAAGGCGGGGAUGACGUCAAGUCAUCAUGGCCCUUAUGUCCAGGGCUACACACGUGCUACAAUGGGAGAUACAGAGUGAAGCGAAGCAGCGAUGCGGAGCAAAACGCAGAAAACCUCUCGUAGUCCGGAUUGGAGUCUGAAACUCGACUCCAUGAAGUUGGAAUCGCUAGUAAUCGCACAUCAGCACGGUGCGGUGAAUACGUUCCCGGGCCUUGUACACACCGCCCGUCACACCAUCCGAGUAGAUUCUACCCGAAGCCGGCAGUCUAACCGCAAGGAGGACGCUGUCGAAGGUAGGAUUUGUGAGGGGGGUGAAGUCGUAACAAGGUAGUCGUACCGGAAGGUGCGGCUGGAUCACCUCCUUUUUA